rnacentral:rRNA from 1 species
AGUGAACGCUGGCGGCAGGCCUAAUACAUGCAAGUCGAACGGCAGCAAAGUAAGAGCUUGGUCUUACGGGUGGCGAGUGGCGUACGGGAGAGGAAUACAUCGGAAUCUACUUUAUCGUGGGGGAUAACGGAGGGAAACACACGUUAAUACCGCAUACUACCUACGGGUGAAAGCAGGAGUACUUCGGAACUUGCCCGAUUGAUUGACUCGUUGUCGGAUUGUCUGUUUGGCGGGGAAAAGGCCAACCAAGCCAAGGAGCCGUAGCUGGUCUGAGAGGAGGAGCAGACACACUGGAAUUGAGCCGCGGCCCAGCCUCCAACGGGAGGCAGCGGAGGGGAAUAUUGGACUAUGGGCGCAAGGCUGAUCCAGCCAUACCGCGUGGGUGAAGAAGGCCUUCGGGUUGUAAAGCCCUGUUGUUGGGAAAGAAAAGCAGCAUGUUAAUACCCCGCUGUUCUGACGGUACCCAAAGAAUAAGCACCGGCUAACUUCGUG